AGAGUUUGAUCAUGGCUCAGGAUGAACGCUGGCGGCGUGCCUAACACAUGCAAGUCGAGCGAUUCUCUUCGGAGAAGAGCGGCGGACGGGUGAGUAACGCGUGGGUAACCUGCCUCAUACACAUGGAUAACAUACCGAAAGGUAUGCUAAUACAAGAUGAUAUAAGAGAUUCGCAUGGAUUUCUUAUCAAAGCUCCGGCGGUAUGAGAUGGACCCGCGUCUGAUUAGCUAGUUGGUAAGGUAACGGCUUACCAAGGCGACGAUCAGUAGCCGACCUGAGAGGGUGAUCGGCCACAUUGGAACUGAGACACGGUCCAAAUUCCUACGGGAGGCAGCAGUGGGGAAUAUUGCACAAUGGGCGAAAGCCUGAUGCAGCAACGCCGCGUGAGCGAUGAAGGCCUUCGGGUCGUAAAGCUCUGUCCUCAAGGAAGAUAAUGACGGUACUUGAGGAGGAAGCCCCGGCUAACUACGUGCCAGCAGCCGCGGUAAUACGUAGGGGGCUAGCGUUAUCCGGAUUUACUGGGCGUAAAGGGUGCGUAGGUGGCUUCUUAAGUCAGGAGUGAAAGGCUACGGCUCAACCGUAGUAAGCUCUUGAAACUGGGAAACUUGAGUGCAGGAGAGGAAAGUGGAAUUCCUAGUGUAGCGGUGAAAUGCGUAGAUAUUAGGAGGAACACCAGUAGCGAAGGCGGCUUUCUGGACUGUAACUGACACUGAGGCACGAAAGCGUGGGGAGCAAACAGGAUUAGAUACCCUGGUAGUCCACGCCGUAAACGAUGAGUACUAGGUGUCGGGGGUUACCCCCCUCGGUGCCGCAGCU
rnacentral:rRNA from 1 species